UACGAGGAGGUCUAGCGUUGUCCGGAAUCACUGGGCGUAAAGGGCGCGUAGGCGGCUUUAUAAGUCGGGGGUGAAAGCCUGUGGCUCAACCACAGAAUUGCCUUCGAUACUGUAGAGCUUGAGACCGGAAGAGGUAAGUGGAACUGCGAGUGUAGAGGUGAAAUUCGUAGAUAUUCGCAAGAACACCAGUGGCGAAGGCGGCUUACUGGUCCGGUUCUGACGCUGAGGCGCGAAAGCGUGGGGAGCAAACAGG
rnacentral:rRNA from 1 species